GACGAACGCUGGCGGCGUGCUUAACACAUGCAAGUCGAACGGAAGGGCCUCUUCGGAGGUACUCGAGUGGCGAACGGGUGAGUAACACGUGGGCAAUCUGCCCUGCACUUCGGGAUAAGCCUGGGAAACUGGGUCUAAUACCGGAUAGGACCUCAAGACGCAUGUCUUCUGGUGGAAAGCUUUUGCGGUGUGGGAUGGGCCCGCGGCCUAUCAGCUUGUUGGUGGGGUGACGGCCUACCAAGGCGACGACGGGUAGCCGGCCUGAGAGGGUGUCCGGCCACACUGGGACUGAGAUACGGCCCAGACUCCUACGGGAGGCAGCAGUGGGGAAUAUUGCACAAUGGGCGCAAGCCUGAUGCAGCGACGCCGCGUGGGGGAUGACGGCCUUCGGGUUGUAAACCUCUUUCACCAUCGACGAAGGUCCGGGUUUUCUCGGAUUGACGGUAGGUGGAGAAGAAGCACCGGCCAACUACGUGCCAGUAGCCGCGGUAAUACGUAGGGUGCGAGCGUUGUCCGGAAUUACCGGGCGUAAAGAGCUCGUAGGUGGUUUGUCGCGUUGUUCGUGAAAUCUCACGGCUUAACUGUGAGCGUGCGGGCGAUACGGGCAGACUAGAGUACUGCAGGGGAGACUGGAAUUCCUGGUGUAGCGGUGGAAUGCGCAGAUAUCAGGAGGAACACCGGUGGCGAAGGCGGGUCUCUGGGCAGUAACUGACGCUGAGGAGCGAAAGCGUGGGGAGCGAACAGGAUUAGAUACCCUGGUAGUCCACGCCGUAAACGGUGGGUACUAGGUGUGGGUUUCCUUCCUUGGGAUCCGUGCCGUAGCUAACGCAUUAAGUACCCCGCCUGGGGAGUACGGCCGCAAGGCUAAAACUCAAAGGAAUUGACGGGGGCCCGCACAAGCGGCGGAGCAUGUGGAUUAAUUCGAUGCAACGCGAAGAACCUUACUUGGGUUUGACAUGCACAGGACGCGUCUAGAGAUAGGCGUUCCCUUGUGGCCUGUGUGCAGGUGGUGCAUGGCUGUCGUCAGCUCGUGUCGUGAGAUGUUGGGUUAAGUCCCGCAACGAGCGCAACCCUUGUCUCAUGUUGCCAGCGGGUAAUGCCGGGGACUCGUGAGAGACUGCCGGGGUCAACUCGGAGGAAGGUGGGGAUGACGUCAAGUCAUCAUGCCCCUUAUGUCCAGGGCUUCACACAUGCUACAAUGGCCGGUACAAAGGGCUGCGAUGCCGUAAGGUUAGGCGAAUCCUUUUAAAGCCGGUCUCAGUUCGGAUUGGGGUCUGCAACUCGACCCCAUGAAGUCGGAGUCGCUAGUAAUCGCAGAUCAGCAACGCUGCGGUGAAUACGUUCCCGGGCCU
rnacentral:rRNA from 1 species